rnacentral:rRNA from 1 species
CCUACGGGUGGCAGCAGUGAGGAAUAUUGGUCAAUGGGCGGGAGCCUGAACCAGCCAAGCCGCGUGAGGGAAGAAGGUACAGCGUAUCGUAAACCUCAUUUGUCAGGGAACAAAGGCGGGGACUAGUCCCCGGAUGAGGGUACCUGAAGAAAAAGCAUCGGCUAACUCAGUGCCAGCAGCCGCGGUAAUACGGAGGAUGCGAGCGUUAUACGGAUUUAUUGGGUGUAACGGGUGCGCAGGCGGCCUGUUAAGUCAGCGGGAAAAGCCCGGGGCUCAACCCCGGCGAGCCGUUGAAACUGGCGGGCUGGAGUUGGUGAGAAGUACGCGGAAUGCGCGGUGUAGCGGUGAAAUGCUUAGAUAGCGCGCAGAACCCCGAUUGCGAAGGCAGCGUACCGGCUCCACACUGACGCUGAGGCACGAAAGCGUGGGUAUCGAACAGGAUUAGAUACCCUUGUAGUC